GAUGGCGGACGCGCACUUCCGUAUCUCCGUCACACGUCACUUCCUUGAGCAUAAAUGACGCACAGCACUAGCUCUCACGUCUAAGAGGCGAGAGCCUCUCAUGCUUUCCCACCUGGAAAUGAGGGCAGCCUGGAAACGCAAUCCGUGGUUAGGCGGCCGCCUCCCAGAAACCAGUCUGUGACUUGGAAGUGUGUCAGUCGCUCAGCCCGACUCUGCGAACCCACGGAAGUAGCCCGCCAGGCUCCUCUGUCCAUGGGACUCUCCAGGCAAGAAUCGUGCAGUCAGUAGCCAUUCCGGUCUCCAGGGGAUCUUUCCGACCCAGGGAUCCAACCUGGGUCUCCUGUGUGGCAGACAGAUUCUUUACCAUCUGAGUCACUGGGAAAACCCCUAUAACAUGGAUGCAGUGGACAAACCGUUGUCGAGUUAGCUCUCUCUGCCGCAGGAAGAAUAAGUUCAUGAGGCAAAAGGGUAGGAGGUAGGAGUGGGAAGAGGAGAGCGGAGUCCUUGGAUGGAAUGUUGGAUCUUAGUUUCCUGAACCCAUGACCCCUGUAGUGGAGGCUCAGAGUCUUAACCACUGGACUGCCAGGGAAGUCUUGCUCAUUUGCUGAACUCUUGAUCCCUUCUCAAGUAUAGAACAGCUUCUGUGCUUGUAUAAUUCUGUUUUAUUGGCUGAUCAAAUCUGUGCCUAAAGAUCUCCUCCCAUAGAAUUAUUAAAGUUCGGUGGCUAAUUCAUCUGUGACAACAGAGUUACCAGUGAGAAGGCACAGUUUCAGAAUGGAGACAUUUGGAAAAGGUCCUAGUAAACUAAUCUAGAGAAUGCUUAUUUUGGAUUAAAACCAAGGAGAGGCUGGAAUUUCACAUCUAAAACCAUUAUUCCAGUCUGGUGCAUGUUAAUUUAAAAGCAGCCAUCCUUGUUAUCCCCUCAGGAUCACAUGUUGUAAGUGUUUAUUUUUACCAUGUCUUAUCUUCGCUGUUGUAUUUUUAUCCUUUGGCUUCAAGGAUGCCCUUCAUCGAGAGGUGUGAAGACACAAAUACUCCCAUUUGAGAACAUGCGGUGCUACAUCCUUCCUGGUAGUGUUUUCAGUAAAAAUAGUUUCUCUUGAUAAAAAUUAUGGAUAAAAAUGUAAAAGCCUAACAGCCAGUGGCCACCUUAACAAACCGUGCAUGACAACCUUCUGUGCUGGGAGACAAAUUGUUUUAAGUCAUUUGCCAUCGAGUAGAAUUUCUGCUCUUAAAGAGAUCAUUCAAAAGGCACUCCAUGGUGAAGCAGAAGUCCCGUGAUUCUGACAAGUCUAGGAUUGCAGAAAGACCAGGACACCCACUCUUAUUUGCUAAAGAUGGGCUCUCCUUUAAACCUCAGAGGGGACUUUUAAGUCAUAAACAUUCAAGAGGUAAGUAAAUAGGACCCAAGCUAUAAUCUACUCAGAUCCUUUUGUUUUCACUGAAAGGAAAACCAAGGUACCAUGUGACAACAUAGCUUUGGCCGCAAAGCCAAAACUAAAGUCAGGCUUCCUCACUCCCGUUUCCUUAGUGUGAUGGUGCUUUAGGCACCCAGCUGUGUC